AACGAACGCUGGCGGCGUGCCUAACACAUGCAAGUCGAACGUGAUUGAGGAGCUUGCUCCUCAUGAAAGUGGCGCACGGGUGAGUAACGCGUAGAUAAUCUACCUGGUGAUCCGGGAUAACACUUCGAAAGGGGUGCUAAUACCUGAUAAGCCCACGGGGUCUUUGGACUCUGCGGGAAAAGGGGGGCCAUUUGGCCUUCCGUCAUCAGAUGAGUCUGCGUACCAUUAGCUAGUUGGUAGGGUAAAGGCCUACCAAGGCGACGAUGGUUAGCUGGUCUGAGAGGAUGAUCAGCCACACUGGAACUGAGACACGGUCCAGACUCCGUACGGGUGGCAG
rnacentral:rRNA from 1 species